AUUUAUAUAGUUUAAAUAAAACCUUACACUUUCACUGUAAAAAUAAAGACUUUCUUUUAUAAAUU
rnacentral:tRNA from 1 species